GAGGAAAAGAAGGAAGAGACAGGAACGUGGAAUAUAAAAAUGGCCUCAAAUGGGCUCGUCGUGGACGUCAGAGUUUUACAGCGCAUGUCUCAAGACACAGCACAGGAGAUUUCAACAACAGAGGCGAAGAAGGAAGCUCAAGGC